GAUGAACGCUGGCGGCGUGCCUAAUACAUGCAAGUCGAGCGAACGGACGAGAAGCUUGCUUCUCUGAUGUUAGCGGCGGACGGGUGAGUAACACGUGGAUAACCUACCUAUAAGACUGGGAUAACUUCGGGAAACCGGAGCUAAUACCGGAUGAUAUUUUGAACCGCAUGGUUCAAAAGUGAAAGACGGUCUUGCUGUCACUUAUAGAUGGAUCCGCGCUGCAUUAGCUAGUUGGUAAGGUAACGGCUUACCAAGGCAACGAUGCAUAGCCGACCUGAGAGGGUGAUCGGCCACACUGGAACUGAGACACGGUCCAGACUCCUACGGGAGGCAGCAGUAGGGAAUCUUCCGCAAUGGGCGAAAGCCUGACGGAGCAACGCCGCGUGAGUGAUGAAGGUCUUCGGAUCGUAAAACUCUGUUAUUAGGGAAGAACAUAUGUGUAAGUAACUGUGCACAUCUUGACGGUACCUAAUCAGAAAGCCACGGCUAACUACGUGCCAGCAGCCGCGGUAAUACGUAGGUGGCAAGCGUUAUCCGGAAUUAUUGGGCGUAAAGCGCGCGUAGGCGGUUUUUUAAGUCUGAUGUGAAAGCCCACGGCUCAACCGUGGAGGGUCAUUGGAAACUGGAAAACUUGAGUGCAGAAGAGGAAAGUGGAAUUCCAUGUGUAGCGGUGAAAUGCGCAGAGAUAUGGAGGAACACCAGUGGCGAAGGCGACUUUCUGGUCUGUAACUGACGCUGAUGUGCGAAAGCGUGGGGAUCAAACAGGAUUAGAUACCCUGGUAGUCCACGCCGUAAACGAUGAGUGCUAAGUGUUAGGGGGUUUCCGCCCCUUAGUGCUGCAGCUAACGCAUUAAGCACUCCGCCUGGGGAGUACGACCGCAAGGUUGAAACUCAAAGGAAUUGACGGGGACCCGCACAAGCGGUGGAGCAUGUGGUUUAAUUCGAAGCAACGCGAAGAACCUUACCAAAUCUUGACAUCCUUUGACAACUCUAGAGAUAGAGCCUUCCCCUUCGGGGGACAAAGUGACAGGUGGUGCAUGGUUGUCGUCAGCUCGUGUCGUGAGAUGUUGGGUUAAGUCCCGCAACGAGCGCAACCCUUAAGCUUAGUUGCCAUCAUUAAGUUGGGCACUCUAAGUUGACUGCCGGUGACAAACCGGAGGAAGGUGGGGAUGACGUCAAAUCAUCAUGCCCCUUAUGAUUUGGGCUACGCACGUGCUACAAUGGACAAUACAAAGGGCAGCGAAACCGCGAGGUCAAGCAAAUCCCAUAAAGUUGUUCUCAGUUCGGAUUGUAGUCUGCAACUCGACUACAUGAAGCUGGAAUCGCUAGUAAUCGUAGAUCAGCAUGCUACGGUGAAUACGUUCCCGGGUCU
rnacentral:rRNA from 1 species